AACGACCUCCAUUUCAGAAAAAAAAUUAGCCUUCGUCGGAGAAGUCCUUUUCUCCAAAUGAAGAAAUUAAAAUAUUCUCCUUUUCUUCAACCAAAAGUGCUUUUGCCAGGUUAAUUUCCAUUUUUCUCCCCAAAAACCGUUCUUCCCUCUGGUUCUUUGCCUGAGAUAUCAAGUUCUUUGACUUUGUUUCUUUUCCUCUGGUUCUUUGUUCCUCUUCCACCGUUUCAGGGUCUGUUUGUGCGGCUACUUUGGCAAGGAAUGGAAUUUCAGUGACCCUUUUUGACUCUGCCAAGGGUCCUGGUGGCCGUAUGUCUCAAAGAAGAGAGAUAAGUGAAGAUGGGAGAGAGCUGUUAUUCGGUCAUGGUGCUCCUUAUUUCACAGUGACAAAUCCCGAUGUGUUGAGUGUUGUUACUGAGUGGGAAUCAAGAGGCCUUGUUGCUGAAUGGAAAUCGAAUUUUGGGUCUUUUGAUUGUUUCACCAACAAAAUUGUCAACACUGAACACCAGUUCUCUGUUUGAUACACUGGAAAUUCUAAAAUCUGGAGAAAGAUUAGCUGCUUCAGAAGUGGGACUACUUGCUACAGUUGGUGUUACUAUGGUGAAGGUACUACAUUGCCUACUGUUUUCAUUUUAAUGACUUCUCACAAGCUUGUUCAGCUUCCUAAAACAAAAUUUGUGUAAGGUUAAAUUCUCUAAUUAGGCUUGAAGGUUCUUCCUGAAGCACCUCCCUUCCUAAAGACGGAUCCAGUUCGGCCAGAAUUUUAUCGUGCUACUAUCAGAUGGGAGGCUAAUGAUGGAUUGGGGAGUGCAGGGUAAAUUUAGAGUUAUAGAUUCCUUGAUCAUAGGUCUCCUCACUUUUUCGAUUUGUUGUUCAGUUAGAUCCUUCUUGGACCUAAUUUAUCUGCAAGUGUCAUGGUUUUUGCUAUUUUAUUCUACUUUGUAAUGCUAUUAUAAUUGUGUUAAGAAGCAAUUUGUUUCUUUCGGAUUUUAGAUUUGUCGCUGAGAGCACUGGUCACCAAAUGAGUAGUCGGCUUCUGAGUAUGAAGUCAGUUAAUGCUUUGAAGUUAUGUUUGGUUAUAAUCCGUAAAGAAACUUUCUUGCUAAAUGAGGAAAAAGUAUGAAGCAGGGUAUUUUUAUUUCGCUGCAUAUGAAGUGGAAUUGCCUUUCUAGGGGUGGCUGUUUGUAUACAUGUCAUAUGGGGGUUAAGGAUGCCAUAGUGAGGUAACACUACUAUGCUAGCGAGUAAGAUGAGAGCCACUGGCUGACAAUUUCUUAUUUCCUUUGGAUGCUCAACACAUAUGACAUGCUGCAAAAUUGUUUCUUGCCAAUGAUUUAUUUUAUGUUCUUAUGAACAAAGUUCGACUCUGAUCUUUGAUGUAGUUUUAUGUCAUUAUCAUGAAAUUUAGGCAGAACCUAAGAACUAUUUCUUUGUUUAUGAGGCUCCUUUGUUAGUGGCUUAUUGGCAAUGAUCUUUUCUGGAUGAUUAUUAUUCAACCAUCUAUUUAUA